rnacentral:tRNA from 1 species
GCCCGGGUGGCUCAGUUGGUUAAGCAUCUGACUUCGGGUCAGGUCAUGAUCUUGCAGUUCACGGGUUCAAGCCCCGCAUCGGGCU